rnacentral:rRNA from 1 species
UACGGAGGGUGCGAGCGUUGUCCGGAAUCACUGGGCGUAAAGGGCGCGUAGGCGGCCUGAUAAGUAGGGGGUGAAAUCCUGCGGCUUAACCGCAGGGCUGCCUUCUAAACUGUCAGGCUAGAGCACAGUAGAGGCAGGUGGAAUUCCCAGUGUAGCGGUGGAAUGCGUAGAGAUCGGGAAGAACAUCAGUGGCGAAGGCGGCCUGCUGGGCUGUUGCUGACGCUGAGGCGCGACGCGUGGGGAGCAAACAGGG